CUGCUCGUUUCUCCCCUCAGAUAUCUUGCCGUGAAACAAACAAACAUUCCUAUCUCGCAGACAAGUGUGACAGCCCCUUGAAGGAUCCUUGCGCAUCAUUACUUUUAUUGUGUGCCGUGCGUUUCCAGGAUUUGGUUCUCAAUACAAUAUCGUUCUUUGCAUUGCGUCUUGUGCGUGCCACCACUGGUAGACACAACUGGCGAGUAGGAGUCCUAUCGAACGUACGCACAAACUCACCUACCCACACACUCGCACACACAGAGGAACAUCUCUCGAGGAGGGGCUCUGAUUGCCUCUGCAUCUCAGUGAACGGCCACCACAGUGACCGCAUCGCGCAACAGUGAAGGGUUGAAGCUAUAAAAGAUGAAUAUUCCCGAGUGGACGAAGGAUGCGCAGUCUAUCCAAGCGGCGAGAGAUUAUGUUCGCCAAAGCCGCGUUGUCGAUUUCUAUGAAAUGAUCUGUCGCAACAUUCUUUUCCAUCACCCUGCUGAUCUCACGGAGUUCUGUCUCCGCAUAGUGAAGGACAUUAUGAACGGGACGGAGAUCACUUCAGCAGCUGAUUUCCAACCAAAGAGAAUCGACGAUAAUAAGUACAUGCGUGAUAUGGCCGUUUGCAACUUCUUAGAUGGGUGGAUUCUGGAGCUGCUUCGGGAACGCCCCGGCUCCGACCUGGAGCGGAUGGAGUUUCACAAGCGAUACCUGGAGGGGCUUCAGAGUGAGCCGAACACAGGGAAAUAGUCUACGAGUCGCAUGGCUUCGGAAUACACUCGUUACGAUACUCUGAAACACAGCGCCUGAAAAAAAAAACACACACGAGUAGCACGUGUGGUCUCCUGCGCCAGCGCUUCUCAUCGAUCACUGCUGCUUUUAUCAUUGCUUGUCUACUGUUUUGCGUUCUUGGGCCCUGCCCAAGUGUUCGUAUGGGCGGUUUAAAUUUUUUUUUCAUGCUUCUUUUUUUAUUCUAUUUUCAAAGACGUGCAUGCUAGCGGAUUUACUGAGCACGCAUAUAUUACAUUUUCUCUAUUUUGCCAAGAGUGCGUGGUUGGUAGCAUCUUCUGCGAACUCGG
rnacentral:misc_RNA from 1 species